AUUGAACGCUGGCGGAAUGCUUUACACAUGCAAGUCGAACGGUAGAGGGGGCAACCCCUCGAGAGUGGCGAACGGGUGAGUAAUAUAUCGGAACGUGCCCAGUCGUGGGGGAUAACGUAGCGAAAGUUACGCUAAUACCGCAUACGAUCUAAGGAUGAAAGCGGGGGAUCGCAAGACCUCGCGUUAUUGGAGCGGCCGAUAUCUGAUUAGCUAGUUGGUGGGGUAAAGGCACACCAAGGCGACGAUCAGUAGCAGGUCUGAGAGGAUGAUCUGCCAAACUGGAAAUGAGACACGGUCCUGACUCCUACGGGAGGCAGCAGUGGGGAAUUUUGGACAAUGGGGGAAACCCUGAUCCAGCCAUUCCGCGUGAGUGAAGAAGGCCUUCGGGUUGUAAAGCUCUUUCAGCAGGAACGAAACGCUCUGGAUUAACACUCCGGGGUAAUGACGGUACCUGAAGAAGAAGCACCGGCUAACUACGUGCCAGCCGCCGCGGUAA
rnacentral:rRNA from 1 species